ACCUCAGAUGCAGGCGAGACGA
rnacentral:rRNA from 1 species